rnacentral:rRNA from 1 species
UACGAAGGGAGCUAGCGUUGUUCGGAAUCACUGGGCGUAAAGCGCACGUAGGCGGAUGUGUCAGUCAGGGGUGAAAUCCCGGAGCUCAACUCCGGAACUGCCUUUAAGACUGCAUCGCUUGAAUCCAGGAGAGGUGAGUGGAAUUCCGAGUGUAGAGGUGAAAUUCGUAGAUAUUCGGAAGAACACCAGUGGCGAAGGCGGCUCACUGGACUGGUAUUGACGCUGAGGUGCGAAAGCGUGGGGAGCAAACAGG